rnacentral:rRNA from 1 species
GAGUUUGAUCGUGGCUCAGGAUGAACGCUGGCGGCGUGCUUAACACAUGCAAGUCGAACGGAGAUAUCAUUUUCGAAGCGAUUAGUUUACUAAGAGUGGAGAUGUUGGUAUCUUAGUGGCGGACGGUGAGUAACGCGUGGGUAACCUGCCUUACACUGGGGGAUAACACUUAGAAAUAGGUGCUAAUACCGCAUAACAGGGAAAGAUGCAUGUCUUUUCCUUAAAAACUCCGGUGGUGUAAGAUGGACCCGCGUCUGAUUAGCCAGUUGGCAGGGUAACGGCCUACCAAAGCGACGAUCAGUAGCCGGCCUGAGAGGGCGGACGGCCACACUGGGACUGAGACACGGCCCAGACUCCUACGGGAGGCAGCAGUGGGGGAUAUUGCACAAUGGGGGGAGCCCUGAUGCAGCGACGCCGCGUGGGUGAAGAAGCGCCUCGGCGCGUAAAGCCCUGUCAGCAGGGAAGAAAAUGACGGUACCUGAAGAGAAGCCCGGCUAACUACGUGCCAGCAGCCGCGGU